AGGAGUAAGAAGAAGGACAAGAGUGAAGAGAAGGAGGAGGAGGAAGAGAAGGAGGAAGAGGAGAAGAGGAAGGAGGAAGAGGUGAAGGAGGAUUCCUCCCUUCCCUUCCGCCUGCCUGUUCCCUACCUGAGAGGCUCCUCUCCAUACUGGCCCAUCUCCUUAGAAAUGAACAUUAUCCCUUUCAGUCUAUUCUGCCCCCCUCCACAGCCCUAAAUUAUGCUUCACUCAAGUACCAUAUCUACCAGAUGUGAAGUUACACAGGAGCCAAACUGAGGGCAUUGUCAUCCUAGCUUGGAACCCAGCCUGAUGUAGCUGAGCAAAGGUUGUGAGACAUGCUAGCUGUCAACGCUUGGACAGAAGACUGAAAGCCAUACAAGGUGCCUCAAAUCCUGGAGGAACAGGGCACUUGGCUCCCACAGCAAAGCUGAAGAUGCAAAGUAAAGUAUUUUUUAUUUGAAGUCAAAGCCAAGGAAGGUCAAGUUCAGCAAAGGAAAUUGUUUGUCCUUGGGCUCACCAGUAGCCCCAGAGUCAUUAAUCCUUUUCAAAAAGAAAUAUAGUAACACUUUCUCUUCAGUGAUGCCAAGCUCAUCAUAAACAUUCUGAUAUCAUUAUUUCAUGGCUCAACAUCCUAUCUCAGCAUGCUAUGUAUUUGUUACAUAAAAAGAAAAGGCAAUCAGAAAAGUCCUGUGUUUGAACUUUGAAGAUAUCUGGGCUUCUGUAUUAUGUAGUGACAGAGAUGUAGCAUCUCAUGUAGCAGGGAUGGGAAUCAUGCAGGCCUCCAGAUGUUGUUGGACUGUAGUUCUCCGCAUUUCUCACCAAUGGCUAGGGCUUCUGGGGCUUGCAACAAUAACAUCUGUGUCUGUUCAGCUCCCAUUCCUGUUCUAGAAUUAGCCAUAAAAGAUGUGAACAUGGUUCUGUAAUGCUAAUUCCAGCUAGAACAGAUCUAUUGAAAUGAAUGGCACAUGUUACUCACAACCUAUCUAGGUCCAAUUUGAUCCCAAAGGAUCUGUUUUCACUGAUUUCGAAUUAACCCUUACAGUUCUAUCAUUUAUUCCCCUCUUAUAUUGCAAUUUUUGUUUUCAUUGGUGUUCUAUUGUUUGCUUAUUUUUUUGUUUUCCAUAUGUCAAGGAAUAUAUGCUGUAUGUUGAUUACAAUGAAUUUCAGUCAAAUAUGGCAUUUGAUUCAGGGAUGAGCAAAGUGUGACCUUCCAGAUGUUGGACUGCAAUUUGCAUCUUAUCACUAGCCAAUAUAGCCAAUGGUGAGGAAUGCUGGGAGUUACACCCCUGGCUUAAUUGGUGGCAUUUCUACAGGUAGUUAGAUUUUUUUUAAAGUGUUUCAGAUAGAAUUGUAAUAACAGGAAUAUCUGUCACAGAUAAUCAUAACCUGAAAGGAUUUAUAUUUCCUUUAGAAAGGCCAGUAUUGCUUUAACAGGAGCAUACAAAGUUGCAUGUGAUUAAGGGCAGCACAUAUUAAUAUUAAGUCUCUGUUGAGUCUAGAAUAGCUUCUUGUGCCCUACUCUACUCACUGAUACUGAAGAGCUCAGCAAGGCAGGGCUGGUCCAAAGCAUUUUGCUCCUCGAGACAAAAAACAAGAUGGCACCUCCCCUUUCAUUCCAUGUACAAAAGUUGACUGGACCAAGUGUUGAACCUUUCUUCAACACUACUAAUGAUUCCAAUAUUCCUCUGGCUACAAGAAUAGAGCUGAGUGCUUCUUCACAGACAGCCCACUAUCCACCAGCAAGGCAAUGCUGGAAGGAGACUGCUACAGCUGAAAGUCGGGGUUUGAUCGGAGCGGGCGGACAAGUACCCUCAUCCCACUUGAUGGAGAUUUGUGUGCUCUGGGCUCUAUUAAGGAUUAGAGUUACAGGAGCCUCGUCCCAGAUCCAAUCUGACAUCCUACCUCUGACUUAAUAGCAGUAAAUCAUCUCCAUGUCAAGUGAAGCUGCCCAAUAAAUUGUUAUUACAAAAUAAUAAGAUAACUUAAUUACAUUUUAACAACCAUUUUGUAUGUUCUCUCUGUGUGCACGUACCUUGUGUAUGUGUAUAUGCCUUCAAGUCACUUGUCGACUUAUGGCAA